rnacentral:rRNA from 1 species
AGCGAACGUUUGCGGCGGGCCUAACACAUGCAAGUCGAACGGGCAGUCCCUUCGGGGGCUGUCAGUGGCGCACGGGUGCGUAACACGUAGGUAAUCAACCCUCGGGUUCGGGAUAACACUUCGAAAGGGGUGCUAAUACCGGAUGCGACGAGCGUCUCCUCGGAGAUGCACGGGAAAGAUCCGCAAGGGUCGCCCGAGGACGAGCCUGCGGCCCAUCAGCUUGUUGGUGAGGUAAUGGCUCACCAAGGCUAAGACGGGUAGCUGGUCUGAGAGGAUGAUCAGUCACACUGGAACUGAGACACGGUCCAGACUCCUACGGGAGGCAGCAGUGGGGAAUAUUGCGCAAUGGGCGAAAGCCUGACGCAGCCACGCCGCGUGAGUGAUGAAGGCCUU